rnacentral:rRNA from 1 species
UACGUAGGGGGCGAGCGUUGUCCGGAUUUACUGGGCGUAAAGCGCGUGUAGGCGGGAGAUUAAGUUGGGUGUGAAAGCCCGGGGCUCAACCCCGGGAUGCCGCCCAAGACUGGUCUCCUUGAGGACGGAAGAGGGGAGUGGAAUUCCUGGUGUAGCGGUGAAAUGCGUAGAGAUCAGGAGGAACACCGGUGGCGAAGGCGCUGCUCUGGGCCGGUACUGACGCUGAGGAGCGAAAGCGUGGGUAGCAAACAGG